AUGGUGGGCUUUUGAAUAAUCAAUACUUAGAUUAUCAUAUUAAUUUAGCGGGUAUCAAGUUCCUCUUGGUACAAUGCACUUAAUUUUAUAAAAUAAUAAUUUAAAAUCCAUUGCCAAGUUCAAAGGGAAAUACGAAGAAGGGACUUGUUCUUUCCAAGAAAGUCUAGACAAAAGAAAUCUUUCGACGUUGUAUAUCUAGUUAACUAAUGAUUUCAUUAUACAUGCUUAUCUUCAAAAGAAAAAAUCAUUGCAAAGAAAAAUAUACAGGCAGGGUCACAUUAAGCACUUUACAUUGCAGAUUAUAUGAGGAUUGGGUGCACCCUUCUUUUUAUCAUCUCUUUUUAUAAAAGUAAUCAACUUCUUUCCCGAUUUGUGAGAAUUCUUGUGCCUUAUCUUGUUACUUUUUUUCCUCUUAGUUGGUCCGUCUGUAUCUUAUUUAACUCCUUUUAUGCAUCUUUAUUCCUUUCUUUAUCGUUAGCUUUAUACUUUUGGUAACAUACAUGCAAUCUUCUGGAAGGCACGCCUUUGUAUAACCAAGGCAAUGAUGAGAUCCACUGCUACAUUUUUUUGUUGUCAACCAUUGGAUAUUGA
rnacentral:misc_RNA from 1 species